AAGUAGAGUCAUGUCAUUGGCAUAUGGAAUUACGCUAAGCACAUUAGUUCUAGUUAUGUGUGGUGCAAACAACUGUGAAGAUCGUAGCGUUAGAGGAUGCCAAAGACUAGCUGCCAUAAAACAAGAUAUGUGUCAGGACAACUGUAUGGCAACUCUCUGUCCUAGGACCUGUGGAUUGUGUCCUUUGAAAUGUUAUUCGUGUGAACAUGUAGAUCAUCCUUCAGAUUGUCUACACAUAGUUCACUGCAGUAAUUUGUCCAUGUCCUGUAUUGCAAGCCAAACAGUAACAGCAUCUCUUGAGAAAAAGUUUCAGCUUGGAUGUGUAGAUAAUAUGG